rnacentral:lncRNA from 1 species
UCAAAGUUAGCAGAGAUUUUGGUCCCUGCCGACCUUGAGCUGCAGUGAUGCAAUUGUAUAUAAAUGAGAUGAUUGUAGAUCACAAUUCACGCCAUAAAAUGUGUGAUCUCCACGAAGUAUAAAUAUCCAAAAAUAAUGUCUAUUGCAGUAUUCGAUCGGGCAGUAUAGAUUACCAAUAAUUAAGUUUGCACCAACAAGUUAAAAAAAAACAAAGUAAAUCUACAGCAACAGGUGCCUCUCAGAACACACACAUACCCACCAACAAAAAUACAAGCAUUUUUUUUAGUGCAACAUGACCUGCGGAAUACGCAGCAGAUGACUCGACCUAUGGAUCGACUCGAGUUUAGGUCCAGUAGCCGUGCGUCUAGGCCUCGAGGGGCUUGCAGACGACGGUGGCGUGCUUGAGGAUCUGGUUGCUGAACUGGCCGGGCUUCUCGGUGGUGUCCACCUUGUCCAGCCCCGGCGGCGGCAGCAGCUGGAAGCUCUGCACGAGGCGGCCGAGCGUGAUGCCGAUGAUGGGCAGCGCGAGGAUGAUGCCCGGGCAGCUCCGGCGGCCGACGCCGAACGGCACGAACCGGAAGUCGUUGCCGUGCGCCUCCACGGCCUUCUCCUCCUCCAGGAACCUCUCCGGUCGGAACUCAUCGGGCCGCACCCACCGCUUGGGGUCGUUGGCCAGGAACCACGCGUUCACCAGGAUCUUGGACUCCGCCGGGAUGUCGUAGCCGGCGAGCUUGCCGUCGUUCAGGUUCAUGUGCGGCACCAGCAGCGGGAUGGCCAUGCGGAGCCGGAGGGUCUCCUUCACCACGGCCUGCAGGUACGGGAGCCUCUCCAGGUCCGGCUCCGUCACCGGCGCGCCGCCCAGCACCUCCGCGAUCUCCUCCCGCACCUUGGACUGGAUCGACGGGUGGUUCACCAGCUCCGCGAUGCCCCACUCGAUCGACCACAGCGUCGUCUCGAUAGCUGCAAAUUUACAAAAGACACUUCUUAAUAUCAUUUUAAUUUCUUUAUAUAAUUUUUGCAAAAAACAAUCCAGCCAGAUUAAACGUUUCUGCUAGGUUUGACCUGCAGUGCUGUUUUGUAUUGAUCCAAUCAAAACGGUACUACCGCGUAAUUCUUAGGUGGUGUUUAGAUUGAGAAAAUUUUAUUUUUGGGAGAAGUGUCACGUCAAAUAUUUGACCGGAUGUCAGAAGAGGUUUUUGGACACGAAUGAAAAAACAAAUUUCACGGCUAGCGUAAAAACUGCGAGACGAAUUUUUUGAGCCUAAUUAAUCCGUCAUUAGCACAUGUUGGUUACUGUAGCACUUAUGGCUAAUCAUGGGCUAAUUAGGCUCAAAAGAUUCGUCUUAAGAUUUCUUUUAUAACUGUAUAAUUAGUUUUUUUAGCUCAUCUAUGUUUAAUGCUUUAUUUAGGUGUCCAAAAAUUCGAUUUUUUUUAGUGCAACAUGACCUGCGGAAUACGCAGCAGAUGACUCGACCUAUGGAUCGACUCGAGUUUAGGUCCAGUAGCCGUGCGUCUAGGCCUCGAGGGGCUUGCAGACGACGGUGGCGUGCUUGAGGAUCUGGUUGCUGAACUGGCCGGGCUUCUCGGUGGUGUCC